rnacentral:lncRNA from 1 species
GGAUAAUGCUUUUCAUCAAGUACUUUUAUAGAUGAUUAUUAAUCCCCUAAUUAUAAUUUUAUUUUUAAAUUAUACAGUAAUAUGAUAUUUUAAAGGAAAAAAUAUAUGUAUACAGCUGUGUAUUACACAGUAGGCUAUGACGACGGUUUUUUGGGCUAUAGCGACGAUUUCACCCGUCGUCAUAACUAUUAUGGGCUAUGGCGACAGUUUACCGUCGUUAUAUCCCGAAAAAUCUGUCGCCAUAGGCCUAUUGUGUAAUACACAGUUGUGUAUAUACAUAUAGCUAAAUCUGGCAAACGAGCGGGUGGGCGCGGGUCGGGCCGGGCCAAAACGGCCCGAAUUUUGGCAGGCUGUAAAAUUUAAGCUCAAAGCCAC